CGAAAGCCUGACGGAGCAACGCCGCGUGAGGGAGGAAGGUCUUUGGAUUGUAAACCUCUUUUCUCUAGGAAGAUGAUGACGGUACUAGAGGAAUCAGCAUCGGCUAACUCCGUGCCAGCAGCCGCGGUAAUACGGGGGAUGCAAGCGUUAUCCGGAAUUAUUGGGCGUAAAGCGUCCGUAGGCGGCCGAGCAAGUCUGCUGUUAAAGCGUGCAGCUCAACUGCAUAAGGGCAGUGGAAACUGUUUGGCUAGAGUGUGGUAGGGGUAGAGGGAAUUCCCGGUGUAGCGGUGAAGUGCGUAGAUAUCGGGAAGAACACCAGUGGCGAAAGCGCUCUACUGGGCCACAACUGACGCUGAUGGACGAAAGCUAGGGGAGCG
rnacentral:rRNA from 1 species